ACACUGCUGAAGAGUCCUCGAUAGGACGAGACGGCCGUCCAGUGC
rnacentral:hammerhead_ribozyme from 1 species